rnacentral:lncRNA from 1 species
CAUGCACACACACAUACAUACAAAGACCUAAAAAAAAUCUAAAUAAUAGAAAUUAUGAGGGACUUCCAAGGAGAUGGCAAGGUGGUGAGCAGCAGAGAAACAGCCUCUCCAAGAUACAAAGUGCAGACACUGAAAUAUAGCAAUGUGAGUAAGAGAAAAGGGAGAGAACGGGUCUCUGGGACCCAGCAAGGAUCUGAAGUGAGAAUUGGAGCCCACAAGGAGAACAAAGAGAAGGAUCUCAACACUGAAGUGGGAAGUGGCAAGUGGCAGUUUCUCCUUGAGCCCUGACUCAAAGCAUGGGACAGACAGCUUGAACCUGCAGAGACACGGUGACUACUGGUGAUGCCACAGGUCUCCAUGGAGAAAUGCAACAGUGGAAUGGAGCAGUGGACCCUGUGAAAUGCAGUGGCUGGAGACUACAAUUAAAGGAUGUGGACUAACUGAUCUGGUGGAGGAAAGUUCAAGACAGCCCAACACUCAAGGGUCUCCGUUGACUUACCCGCGGGCCGGGACAAGUGGCGCCCAACGUGGGGCCAGAGAACGGGGGUUCCAGUGAAGGACGCUGCUCAGGGGCCCUAAGAUUAAGAUUGAGGAACAAAGAGCACACUCGACACGGGAGAGGCUUGCAAUUGACGUGGACCUGCCGUCUUUUUGCACCUCGGUUUAUCUGCAGCCAAUCGUUUCUGGCAACCAGAGACACAACGACAAUUUGCCUCGGUGAUGUGGAAAGACCCCCUGGACCACUCAUGGCACGGGCCGGAUCCUGUACUUAUCUGGGGCCGAGGAUCGGUGUGUAUUUACUCCAAGGAAAUGAAGUCAGCCAGGUGGCUCCCAGAACGCCUAGUAAAACAAGUUGAUAGGUGUGCUGAUGAUGCCGAUGACCUGAUGUUGUCCAAUCUUAACCAGUUAACAAUGGCACCUACAAUUACAAUCUAAUAAUCAUCAAGAGUAUAGUAUAAUUCAAUUUGGCUAGUUAUAUUUGGGUGCACCCUAAUUUUACACACUGUCUUAUAUGUUUGUCUAUUGUCUGUUGUUUGUGUUUGUACAGUUGAGCUCAAUAUGUUCCUUCCUCUUCAAAGGAUAUUCGCCUAUUGUUAAAUUGACUUAUAGAUAAUAUUAUUAAACUAAAGACAUGCUUUUCUUCCCAGGUUGUUAAUUGAUCAAAGUACCACUGA